ACCUCACUGAUGUCUCACAAGUCACAAUAACCUCAUAACUCCAGUUAAACUCGAUUUUGUGACUUUUUCGUAUUCUAACGAAAACCUCACAGUCACAAGAACCUCAUAAGGUGUGGAAACUCAGGACUAUCGUCACAGUAGCUUUUGCUGUAUCGAAAUCAAAUUCUCAUUGAAUCUGGAAAAAAGCCUUCAAUCAGGUUAAAACUAUCAAGAGUGCUCUCCUAAACAGUACGAGACGAACAAAAUAAGCCCAGAGUGGGCAACGUUAUUUUUGACCCAGCAUUAGGAUUUCAUGCGUGAGACUCAAACACCGUUGAAAGAAAGAAUUUACAAACUAGCUGCCAGUCCAGUGGACUGGUUGGUUACAAGAAACACAAAGCUGUGGAAGACAUCGAUUCUGACAAUUGUCCACCAUCUGUGCUGAAGAAGCUUUCCAAUAAACAAAGUAAUGCUUAAAAACCUGCGUCAAGCCACCGAAGUUGGUGUCAAUCGCAAACAACAUAAAAAGACUAUAUAGCAAAACGCUUAAAAGCAGCAGCGGCAACAUCAUCGACAAGUGCGCAUACAACAAUUACAACAACUUCAGUAUAUCAGCCCCAAACACCAAAUAUAAUAAACAGAGUCUAAUGACGUCCGCAGUUGAAGUUCCUUAGCCUAAUUGGCAAUUUUUAGUCAUCACAGGUUGACACAAUAAAUCAACAGGCCAAAAUCAGCCUCCAGUUGACCACAAGAUACAAAUAAGGCCAAUUGUCAAUGAUUCAGGCCUUUAAAUCAUUCCACACUACAACGGCCAACUCACAAUCAUCACCCACGGCAACAGUAGCAACAUCAGCAAUAGCAACAAGAAGCCAAUGCCAAAUCAUUAGC